rnacentral:lncRNA from 1 species
AUACAGUGGGAAACUAAGUUUACCUCCAUAUUUUUACUAUAAAUGUUACAACAAAUAGCACAACUUGUUGCAAUAAGUCCUAAAUCCUACAAGUAUAGCUGUUCGUGUUAUUCCUUCAAGAUAAAAAGAGCUGUGCUCAUGGUGAGUAUGAAACCUAACAUCUCUCUGAGAUCUACCAAUAAUUUGGUCGUCCUGUCAAAGAUUUCUCAAGCUCACUAUUUUAGUCAGAUUGAGGUUGAAGUUCUGCAAUACGAAACUUAAUCUUCCUUGUCUUGUUUGUCUCCAGAAUGAAGUGGUUGUCUGGCUUCCGGCUGAGAGGUGGAGCUGCUUGGAUAAUCUCCCUCAUCUCUUGUACCAACCCUUAAGGGUUCCUCUUUUAAAGAUUGGAUGAUCAUCACCACUGCGACCACAAACACUAUGAUUGUUACUGUUCC